AAUGAACGCUGGCGGCGUGCUUAACACAUGCAAGUCGUACGAGAAAGCCUUGGCUUGCCAGGGCGAGUAAAGUGGCGCACGGGUGAGUAACGCGUGGGUAAUCUACCCUUGAAUCGGGGAUAACCCUUCGAAAGGAGGGCUAACACCGGAUGAUAUCGGUUUAUUUUCGGACAGACCGAUCAAAUGUGGCCUCUACAAGUAAGCUACAGUUUGAGGAUGAGCCCGCGUACCAUUAGCUAGUUGGUAGGGUAAAGGCCUACCAAGGCGACGAUGGUUAGCUGGUCUGAGAGGAUGAUCAGCCACACUGGAACUGACACACGGUCCAGACUCCUACGGGUGGCAG
rnacentral:rRNA from 1 species